rnacentral:lncRNA from 1 species
UAGGAGGGGCACCGACGUGAACUACCUCUGACAGGAAAUCAAACGUCAAUCUUUUCAGCUUCUUGACGUAGAAUAGACGUCGGAUCCCCUGAGACACCGACGUCUAUAGACGUCGGAUCCCCUAAAACACCGACGUCUAUAGACGUCGGUUUCUGGAGCAACCAACGCCCCAUUUCAUUUUAAAUAGACCGCGGACUCUUCUCGCCAUUCAGUUUCUGAUCGUGUCUUCAUCUCUUCUCCUUUUUCUCUGCUUCUCC